rnacentral:pre_miRNA from 1 species
GGGGCAAUAUACGCUCUGGCAGUGUGGUUAGCUGGUUGUGUGGUUUGCCCCGGGUUUCCGUCUUCACAGCCACUAUCCGCCCUGCCGUCGCGAUAGUGCCGAA